UACGAAGGGGGCUAGCGUUGCUCGGAAUCACUGGGCGUAAAGCGCACGUAGGCGGGUCCUUAAGUCAGGGGUGAAAUCCCGGAGCUCAACUCCGGAACUGCCUUUGAUACUGGGGAUCUUGAGUCCGGAAGAGGUGAGUGGAACUCCGAGUGUAGAGGUGAAAUUCGUAGAUAUUCGGAAGAACACCAGUGGCGAAGGCGACUUACUGGACACAUAUUGACGCUGAGGUGCGAAAGCGUGGGGAGCAAACAGG
rnacentral:rRNA from 1 species